GUGCAUAGCCAGCUGCAAAUCUACAUACAAACUGAUCUUUUUCAGUAUCCGUCUAGUAUAUCUUGGUUUGAAUUCAUCCUUCCUUCAGUUAAUAAAUAUUUCAGGGUCCUCCCUCUGCCCACUGAGUACCUGGGAGCCUAUGGUGAAAGCAUCCCUAGUUUGACAUCUCAGAUACCCUGAGUUUAGACAACUCAUUUAGGUGCUAUGAGUAAAUGGGAUGAAGCCAGCCUUUGUUUCAGCUGUUUGUUUUCUUUUUCUUUCAUUUCCCCCAUCAGCACAGAUCCGAUUUUUCUCAGGAUGAGUUCUGCUGUGUCUGAAUUCCUUUUUGUGUUCUUCCCAGCAUUCCAGUCAGUGCUGCACUGCAGCAGCACACCCCUCUUUGGAAUGUUAUUCCCUCAAGACUCCCAUGGCACAGAGAGAUGGCGACAAAGCAGCAUCAAGCAAUUGCCUCCUGGCUAGCAUUCUCGGCAAACCCUCAUGACUAUUGACUCAAAUGAGCAGCCCAGCAAGAAUGAAAUACAUCAGAGUUCAAACACAAAAGAAUUUACCUCCAGUUUUUGGGUCAAGCCAACCUGUGCAAGUGAGGCAAGUGAAUUGUCAGGGAAAAAGACCGUUCGAUUCACAGAUUAUCACGUGGAUCCCAAGACCAGCGUGACUGCGGUGAUCAAGAGGAGCAGUCUGCAGCUUCCAGUUUUGCCCAUCUUGACCAGCCUACAGUAUCAAUAACAAGAACAAAGGAACUCUUUGGUUUGUGUUUGUCAGCACAGCUGUUGGGGUGCCAUGUGCUAGAAUGCGUUAAGGAUUUCACAGACUCUUGAAAAGUGGGUGAACUUGAAUGUGAUGAAUGGCUAAAAAAUGUGCCUGGGAGUUUUUCAGGUCAAGCAAGAGGUUCUGUACCUGUGUCACUUUGCUGCCUAUCAUCCCAUGUGAAGUAUUCCUUGAAUAUAAACUAAGAGAUGUAGUGUUACUUUUAAAUGUGAUUGUAAAUAUGUAACGUAAAACUCCUCUAUUUAUUCAUUAAUCCUAUUGUGGCCCAUAUUAAAUCUCUGCUUAUCAGUUUAAAUACUUACCAUAUUUUAGCAGUAUAUAAGCAGACCUAGGUCACACUGGCAUCAAAUUGCAUAAUCCAACUUCUUUCCUAACACAGCAGAAACAAUGCACUGGAUUUUUACUAUAUUACUCAACUGGAAAUAUAUUGUUUGUUUCAGAAUGGCAGUUAAUAAGAGCCUUCAUUUAACAUCAUCCCAACACUUACUGUGCAUAGGAAAGAUGGGUACAUUCACCACAUAGGUUAGAUAACAUGAGGAGAAUGUCUUUGUAUUCUUGUUUUCUGUAUUAUGCUGAAAUGCAUUUAACUGUAGGAAAUUCUCUGUUAGAUGACUGGGAAUUUUUUAGUCCUUACUGCAUCCUAGUCUGAUCAGUAACAAUUUGUCUAAUUCAUAUUUUACGGCUGGGAGAAUUGAGGGAUAGCUGAGCAGAGGCACACCACCUCUCCACAACCUCAUGCCCAUUCAGUUGCUGGCACUGAAGGCAGAUCUUCCCAGUUGCCUGCAGACACACCAACAGCAGGUCAGUCCCCACUUCAGACCCUGUCCUUACAGCAAAGAAAGGCUUGCUUUUUCCUGACUGAUACUAAGUCAAGGCGAUUCUGCAUGGCAGCAGCACUGAUAUUUACUCUCAGAUCUCAUGAUUAAGUAGUAAGGUUUGACUUCAAUUAAUUCUAAUGGUUUCUGAUAGCAAAAAGUCACUACAGAACUUAAAAAGCACUUGAACUGCAGCAAGAUCUUUACAGUUAUCUAUAUGAUAUCUUUCAGUCUCUUUUGGCUCCUUGAUCUGCACCAACUUAUGUGCCAACUUUGGUCUGUGAGAAACUGAACCUUAACGUCUGUUAUUUUAAAAAAUGUAUGAAAAUACUGCAAUCUACAAUGGAUUUCACAAGGUCUGACAUUCCUUUUGGGAUAAGUACUUCAUAAAAAUUGCUCAUGUGAAUCAUGUACUGUUCAUGUAUUGUUCAUGAAUCAAACCAAGAGCCAUUUAAAAAUGACUAGCAUUAGGGAAACGUAAUAGCUUUUUAACAGAUUAUUUAAAUGACUGUAUCUCUGAUUUCCAGUCAUUUUAUCCAAACAGCUAUGGCAGAACUAUCCUUGAAAAGAGAGUAACAUUCUGAUUAAACUCUUUUGUUGCUGGAUUUAAGAAAUAUUUUAGAAGGGAGAAUUUCUCAAUUAUAUAUUCAUCUUUCAGAGCCUGGGCAUGGAGGGUGUACAAUUUGAUCAAACCCAGCUGAAAGCACGAAUGGCUUGGAGGAUUCAUUCCAUUUUUACAAUCACAGCUGAGACAGCACUUGAAAUGUGCUCAGCACUGCGCAGUCCUCUUGUGCAGGCUGACUGGUGUAGGAGUCAUUUCCUCACUAGUUUCUUGUAGUGGCAGCUUGGCUGAGAUGCCUGACACCCAGCAAUGCCUGGCAAUUCAGUAGUGCAAUAAGACAGUGUUCAAGUGCAGUGCUUAUAUUUUCCUGUAGCUGGAUUAUUAUCCCAUCUAUCCACUUGGUUUCUGGGUCAUAUGUAUCCUGAUGUAAGCAGCAGAUAUGUUCAAAAGUUCACCUUAUCUCCUCCACCUGCUCCUGCUGGUGGCUCGGCCCACACACCCUCACUCCUUUUCGUGGAAGGUUUCUUAUCUGUGGCUUUGUGUGUGUGUGUAUGUUUGUAAGCAGUGGUGGAACCUGCUACAAUCCUGAGUUGGAAGGGACCCACAAGGAUCAUGGAGUCCAAUCCCUGGAUCCAUGCAGCACCACCCAAACCCAAACCCUAUGUCUGAAAGCAGUGUCCAGAUGCUCCUGGAACUCCAGCUUGGGGCUGUGCCCACUGCCCUGUGCAUCCCGUUCCAUGCCCACCCUGGUGGGCAGCCCCUUUCCCUGACCCCCAGCUUCCCUCCCCUGACGCAGCUUCAUGCCGUCCCCUCAGCCUGUCGCUGUCACACACAGCAGAGCUCAGCGCUGCCCUCCGCUCCCUGUGAGGAGCUGCAGCCACCAUGAGGGCUCCCCUCAGCUCCUCUGCCCUGUGCUGAGCACACCCAGGGAGCUCAGACACUCCACAUACACCUUGCCCUCCAGACCCUUCCCCAUCUUUGUAGCCCUUCUUUGGAUGCCUUUUAAUAGUAUUAUGUUCUUUUUAUAUGACGGUCUCCAAAACUGCUCAUGCAGAGCUGCAAGCACGUUCCUUUGGGUCGCAGCACCUCAUGCUACACCAGCCUUAACUACUCCUUUAUUAAGCAGUUCUCUGAGCAUAACUAAAGCAUGUGGGUUGUUAACAUACAUAAUAAGUUAUAUUUAAGAAGGUUUCAAGCUAGCACAUUGUAUUUUGCAGCAAAGUCAUAAAAAUACGCUAACAUGAAAACAUCUAAUGAGGGAAAUGUUGCGUGCAGAUGUCUGUUUGCCUAUUAUUCCAUAAAAUGACAAUAUAUUUUUAUUUAUAUGAGUAAUGUUAGACACAAACAUGUUACCAAAAAAACAUUCAUUUAGGAAACAUAUAAACACAAUAUGAGUCUAAUAUAAGAAACCGUUGUAAAACACAUUUUUUUUUAGUGCUUAUACAAUGACGAGAAAUUAAAAGAAAUUGUUUCAAAUACAUUUUUUUUCUCUCUCAUGAUGAAAAAGAAAUAUAUGCUCUCAUCUGGCAUAUUAUUUCAGAUGUAGUAGAAAAGUGAAAUUUGUGCCUCACGUCAUGUAUCCUUUACAUGAUGCAAAGGAACAUAAUUUUAUUUUUGUUUUAUUUGAAGACUGUCCUGGCACAUUGGCCACCAAUUUCAUUUUUAUUGCAGUACAUGGAUAACAAAGUCACAUAACCUUACGUUAAUGCAAAAGGCAUGGGAAGGGAAAGGGAAAGUAUAAUUUUUGUUGUUGCUGUUGUCAUUUGAAAUUUCCAGAGUGUCUAUGCACAUUGGGUACCAUUUCAUUUUUAUUGCUCUGCACUGAUAGCAAUGUCGCAUAUCAUUAAGUUAACACCAAGUUAGAAAAAAAAGAAAAAAUGAGGUUUUUUUUUCUUCUGUUACCAUUGUUUGAAAUUGUUUGUACUGUUUAAAUAUAAUUUCUGUGUGUUGGUGAGAGUAUUGAAAAAUCUAAUACUCACUGUAAAAAGCUAUAUUAAUUUAUGCUUUUUGUAUGUCUCCAUAUGACAGUAGGUAGAAAAUGCAAUGCACCUAUCUUAUUGGUGAGAUAAAGGUUUGCUCAGUGUCCAGAUGCAGCUAAUAUGGAAACAACUACCUUUGUGGAGAAGUGGAAUAACCCCACUUUUUAAUAUCUCCAAAUCGGUACAUUUUAUUAAAGAACUUAUCUUAUACAUCCUAAAAUACCUCCCAUAUGCACCUCAUUGUCUUUUAACUCCUGAGCAGAGACUGAUCCUCACUUUGGGAUGCAGAGGGUUAAUCUGUAGUUGUGGUGCAUCCACUCCUUAUCACCGACAUGUAAAUAAUGACCAUUGGGAUGGACGUAGCACUCAUCUAAAUGGGGAGCACCAGGCAGCUGCGUGGCUGCUCUGUUUUAUGUGACAGGUCAUUGUACAGGUCAGCACUAAUAGCAGUCAGGAUUACAGCCCUUGGCCUCCUCUGGGAAAUUUGUGCCUCAGUAUGGUGAAUCUACUGCCAACAAUUGUCUCAGUUUUGGAGGCCAAAAGAGGCCAACUUGUUUUAUUUUACUUAGUUUGUUGUUAACCAUUCUCAUACCAUGCACAGCUCUGUUUCUUUAUCCUUGACCUGUGGAGCAGCUCUGUUUUGGUACUGUAAUUCAGUGUCCAUUUUUAAGGAGCCACCUUAGAAAGACAGAUAAGGGGCUGCCAGAAGGUGAUGGCAUGCAGGACCAAAAUGGUCUACAUGGUUUCAAAUAGACACCAUGCGUUUCACCUGAGGCUCUGCUUUCUUGGUAGAAUGCUCAAAACAAGUUUCUGUAAUUCAUACUUGAAUUAAUGGCUCUGGGAGCACCUCAAACCCUUUGACAUUGCUCUUGUGGAGCUCAUGGUUGAGGUGACUUCAUGGAGGGCAGUCUCAGCUAGCAUAUUCAGCUGAUCCAUUACAUCCCAUUCUUUUCUGUCCUGUGAUAUUUUAAAUGUAAACUCUUUUGAGGCAUAUGGAUUAGACCCCACAAAAGCAGUCAUAAUUCCAAAACUGUUCAUGGCCUAUGGAAUCCUUGUUACUAGAGGAGGGAUACAACAGCUUCCAGGCAAUUGUUCUCUCAGUGAGGAGCAUUACAAGGAAGGACCUAGAGUGGAAUCUGUGCACUCUGUAAAACAAGAUGAAUCUGCGAGGACAAGAGAACCUUGGCCAACAUAUUUAAUGAGAGCUGUAUGGUGUUAAACAACCACAGAUGUAUGUAAUAGAUUUGUUGUGUCACAAUAGGCUACAUCCCAAUAAGCCACCUGAACACACAAAUGUGUGACAGCUAGUAUGGUUUACAUUUUUAAUGCAUUUCCUUGCAUGAGGCUUGGAAUAGCUUUCUCUUCACCCACUGCCAUAGGCUACUGCUGUGUGCUUGCAGCAGCACUUCAUCUUCAAGAGAUCACAUAUCAUGAAAGAAAAUAAUGAAAGAGAGACUGGCCAGGGGAAUCCCAUGAGACCAUUCAUUUUCACUGAGCCUCAGAUGUCAGCACCUGUACUGGUGUUGCUGUUCCCUGGAUGGUGUCCAUGAAAUAAAGACCUUUCUGCAGCCAAUGCAGUGGCAGUGGGAGUUGCUUGCUCUGGAAAUGUCAGUUGAAGUAUUGGACACAACCUUCAAUGGUACUGGUGUCCUUUUCCUUCCAAACUUCGAAUGAAACAGAGCAAGUGUGAAAUAUUUUGUAGCAGGUGUUGGAGAAAGCAGGAUAAUGUGGCAGUUUUGGAAGAAGUGCUGGAAUGGGAAUACGCUACUGAGCUCUCCAUCUGGAGAGGAAACCCAGAACCACCCUUCCCUCACAAGCUGCUGGAAAAACAGGAGUGUGUGUUUGGGGCUUUGUAGAAGUCAAGUUAUAGCUUGUUUCUAAAUGUCUUCAUAUGUUUUUAUUUGUAUUGCAUACUUUCCUCUUGGCUGCAGUGGAGCUCUUUUAUUUUGCACCAAUAAAUUCUGAAACAUUUUAAGAUGUAAAAGAUUUGCAUGUCUCAGAGAUGCGUAAACUACAUAGCCCCUGUUCUCUCCCCCCCUGGAUUUUUGUUAAGUUCACUGGUAAUUCUUUAUCACUCUGCAUCUUAUGCAAUCAUUUAUAUUAGUGCCAAAUGUGUUUAAAAUGCUGGUCAAAACUACAUGACAUGUCUUUAAGUGACUGAAUUUGAGUUCUGGGGUCACACGCAAGAAAUCUGUGUCCAAACCUUACAUCUGCAGUGCGUAAUGUGCCUGUCCAGAUGGCAGGUAUAUUCCAGUUCUUAAUAAGCUACUUAAUAAGCUCCCGUCUGUCUCCGUAGCAAAUGAUGACAAGCCUUUCUGAUAGUACUUUAGAAGCAGGAGAGCUCAUAUAUAGUCAUACACACAUACAUAAGUAUAUACAUACAUAAGUAUAUAUGAUUUCCCAAUUUUUAAGUAAUAGAAAUUAUAUACAUAUAUAGAAUGCAUGCUUCUACAUACAUGCACAUCUAUGAGGUAUUAAAAUUACAGCCUUUCAGGAGAAAAAUGAUUCUGCAGCAAUGUUACAGAGCAUAACUUUUGUGAAAAUUGUGCCUAAGAGCUGUUCCAUUCACUGCUGUUGCCAGUGGUGAGGAAUGCCAGCAGUUUAACCAUUUGUCUAGAAGGAAAGGUAAUAAACCAUUUCUCAGCAGUAGCAAUCAGAUUGCUUUAGUUGGACUUGGGUCCUGGCAGUUUUUGAUGGACACCAAGCAGAGUGGGAGGGCCUGGGUCUUGAGAACCAGCCAAUGCUCCCCCAGGGCUGGAGCAUCAGCUUCACAUUUUAGAGUUCUGUGAGAUAUCUGGGUGGAGCUGUAAGUAGUUUGAGGUUUGAGGGUGGGAUAAACUGUCCAUGUUGACAUAGCCAUUUCUCAUUAUAACCGUAUUGACAUAAAAAUUACCAAAGUUUAGCUUUGGUAAUUCUGAGCCUGUGUUGCAGUGGCUGUGUAAUGGGAGAAACAAUAGAGAACAAAACUUGUAUACAAUGCAUUUUAAUAGAAUUCUUUAUAUAGUUUGAUUUCUAAAAGAUCUCUCAUUAGCCUAUUGCCUGCAUUUUUGUAGCAGUUACCACAAACAUUGGCAUGAUACCAUGGAAUGGUAAUGGAAAAUGGAAAAUAUUAACAGGGAAAAUGGGUUUUUUAUGUUGACUACACUGCCAAAAUCUGUUUGAAAACCACCUGCAGUCCAAGGAUUUAUUUGUUAGAGUCACUAAAGCUUAACCGGAUAAUCUCUUCACUUGCUUCUCAUGCGCUAAACAAGUGAACAGAACAAACAAUCAAACCCAUAUCAUAACAUAAAUAAUCUACGAUUUUCUGUGAUAAAAUUCCCCUAUGUAAAGACCUGGGAUAUCUGAAAUGGACAGUGACAUACAAGGUUCUCAAGUAAAUUUAGUGUUUCUCUUACCAAUCCUAUCUAUGGAGCCUUCUGAUGAGAAAGUUUUUUGGCUAAAUCUCUCAUCUCAGGAACUUUCAGUGUGAGAUCAUUGCUCUAGUGUGUAUCUCAACUAAUAACUUCUUGCAUGAACUUCAGGUAAAUAAUUCCAUCCUCUCCCAGUUUGAUCAUCUGCAGAUCUGUUAGCUGAUAUACAGAAAGCCUGUUGUCAAAACAUUUGCAAAAUUAAAGAAAAGCAAAAGAAAAGAAGCAGAUUUUUUGCUCCAUUCUUUAUAGAUAGAGUACAUUGGUUGCUGAUAGCUCAUAAAUAUUAGCAUACUGUGAUAAAGCCAAUUUAGGAAGAAGUGCUAAACAGUUACUAUCCUGGUAUUAGCACCAGGAAAUGACAUCAUUUUUUUCUGGAUGCUCUAUUUGCCAUAGUUAAAUCCCUUUUCUCUCCUUGCUCAGGCAAAACUGAGUAUUGAACAUCAUUUUUUUCAUAUGCAGUGACUUAAUUUUCCCCCUUUAAGAGCUCAUGCUCUGAUUAAAAAAUGUGUAUUUAUAAUUUUCCAGCAAAUUAAAUUUAUUAAAACCAGUCCGAUAAUCUUUAUUAUCAAGUUGUAUUUAAUACUUAUUAUGAGGUUAAACCACUAAAAUAUCUGUAGUUCAAUAAAAUAUCUCCAAACUUCAGUCAUAAGAGAAUGAUAUUAAAGCAAACAUGCAGAUUAAUAAUGGGAAUGUUUGGUUUCUAACAGAAAAGACAAAAUCUAUUAGGGUUGGGCUGAAUCUUGAAGUUAUCACCUAUUCUUUGCAAUCACUGUCCCAAAUGUUUAUAUCUGUAAGUAUUGAGUAAAAUGAGUAAAUAACUUGAAGAUUUAGUCUAAUGUUAUCGAAGUUUUUCUGAUUGAUUUCUGUGACUGACAUCUUAUGUAAAUACUCUGAGCUGUUGCAUUGUCUGUAAUUACUGAGAAACAGAUGAAGUUGCGGUUUAGUUAAAAGCAUGCUUCUUGGUUACAAAAUACAAGGAAUAAUUGUAAUUUAUUUCAUUUUUCAUUUUCAUUUUUUUUUAAUGUAAGAGCAAAUGUAGUAAAAUUUAAUUAAAGCGCCUGCAUUUUAGUGCCAAUUGUAAAUAUACUGAUAACAUUCUGACUAUAUAAUAAUUAAUAAGAGAUUUCUAAAUAGAUCGUAUUCUUCUACACUACAAUAUAUCUAAUAAUAAAAAAAUUGCAAUAAUAAACCAAGGGCUACUAGUUUGUCCUACAGAAUACUUGAUGAUUCUAGCAGAAAAAAAUAUGGGGAAACAGGAUGGCAUUUAUCUGCAAAAAUCUUUUGAAUUGAAAAGCACACUUGACUUGUCAUGAAAGAUAACAUAAUGUAAUUUGAUGCAGGUACAAAUUUAUUGGAAUGGGCCAGAAAUCCGACAGAAAAGGCUUUGUUCAUAUCUCAGUAAAGAUUAUACUUCUAGACAUCUAGUACAACUUGUACAAUGAUGGGUUACAUUUUUUUUUUUUUUCACUGAUGAACAUCAGAAAUAUUAAAAUAGUGUUUGAUAGUCUGCCGACAUAUUUGUUGUUUUUCUGGCAUAGUGAAGGAGUGGAAAGAAAAUAAUUUGGGAAAAAAAAAAAAAAAAAGAUUCUUUCUAUUUCACGGAUUGAUGGUUUUAUUCAGUGUAGGAACUGAUGUCGUGUUGUGUGGCCAGGUGACUUUGUGGGCUACCUAACAGCCUGGACCACAGAAAUACUCAGAGCUGGGUCAAGAAGAGCAACACUCACUGAUCUGAAUGUCUUUCCAAAUGUGGGUGUCAGUCCAUCUAUCAUGGGACACCACAUCCAGUCAUAAAAAGCUUCUUGCAGCAGCAGCAGAGGAUUAGAAAAACCUUCGGUUACCCAGAUGAUUUUUUCCUGUAAGUUCAAACACUGCUCAUGGCAUGCUCUGACAGUCUGUCCAUCCCUACUUCUAUGGAUAGAACGGAAAUUGGUCCCUUCUUUGCGGGAAAUAUUCUGUAGUUUUUUCCUCGAUUUGAGAGAGCAGUGAGAAUCAUCCCCCUUGGUGAUAUGCUGUGCCAUGUAGAGCAAAAUACAGCCUCUCUGCAGCCCUUUCUCUUUGGGGUUUCCUUAGCCUUCCUGAACGUUUUUCUUGCUGUUGUGCUACCUGCUGUCUUCAGGUGAAAGUUUCUUCCUCUUAAUAAUGUAUGGUGCCACCUUUCCUAGUCUGUUCUUGUGCCAAAUGAUUUUAUCUUAAGAGCUAAAUACCCAAUGGUUUUGGCGAGCACUGAGUGGACUAAGACGAGUCUGAUUUUUUUUUUUUUUUAAAAACACUCAGGAAACAACUGCUGCCAUAAUCACAAGGGAAUAGCGAUCCCUCUUCAUAAAUUCAAUUUGUUCAUAACCUUUUGACACAGACCAUAAAUAACCUUUAUAUAUCUCACAUACACACACAAGGACACAUACAGCAUGUGACAUAAACAACGUAUAUAAAUAUUUAGAAAAAUACAAAAUAAAUGUAAAGUGUCAUAAGAACUACCCACUUAUUAGCAAGUGGUUAACUGCUUGUUCAAACUGAUACCUGGAAUGCCUGCCAGCUCUGUUUGCUGUGCCACUGUAUUGGCUGAGGUACAAAACCAUAGCAAAGGAAGCACCAACCCAUGAGAAAUGAGACUAUUUCUGCAGAGAUUACACCAGAGAUGAGGGGAAGUUGAGGUUGCAUUCUGGCUCGCAUAAGGGCUAGAAAGAUUUCCUGCUGUGAGAUCUGGAAAAGCGAAACAAAAGGGAGAAAAAAACCCCAAAAAACAUAGAAACUACUUUUAAUUCUAAAAAUUAUUCUUCGAUAUUAUUUAUUAUUUGGACUCAUUUGAUAAUAAUAUUGAAAAAAACCACAAAAGCAUGUGCCAGAAUUGAAAGUGGUAAAUCAAACAAUGUUAUGGAGGGAAUAAAUAUUCCUAAUUCAGUUUUAUUCCUAAAAAAGUCACAUUGCAAUGGAAUUAAAUUAAAAUUAAAUUAAAUUAAAUUAAAAUGUGCCUGGCUUCCUAUGUUUUUUCUAUGUUCUUUCUUGUUCUUUAAAACCUAUAGGAAGAUGUCCCAUCUGAUGAACUUGGUGCUUUAUGUUUUCAGUAAUAUAUAAUGCUGAUAAUUUCUGGGUAAAAAAUCAAUGGAAUGUGCUAUAUAUAAGAAAGUACUGAAAUUUAAUAUUUAUUUUGAUAUUAGCACAACUUCUUGCAGAAGAUCCACAAUAAAAAUAAUUCA